CUCCGUUGAUGACCUGUUUUUGUUUGUCUGGGCCACUGAAAUUUUCUUGAUUGUAUUGAGGAACUGAGAAG